rnacentral:lncRNA from 1 species
UUAGUCCUUUUCCAUUAGCAUAUCUUUCUGGUUUGCUUGUCUUGACUUUUGAGAUAAGUAACCCUUCCUCCUCUUCCUUUCUCCUCUCACCCUUCCUUGUUCUCCCCCUUCCCCACUUCUUCCUUACCCUCCUUCUCUUUUCUUCAAGACUUUGCAUAUUCUAAGUGUGUGCUGUUCCCUGCACUAAAAUUCCAUUCCUCUUUCUUUUUUUUGAAAACGUAUUUAUUUUAAUUUCAUGUGUAUGAGUGUUUUGCCUGCACAUAAAGUACACAUGCAGUGUGUGCCUGGUAUCUGUCCCAGAGGCCAGAAGAGGGCACCAGAUUUUCUGGAACUAGUGUCAAGGAUAGUAGAGAGAGUCUGUAUUAGAUGGGUGCUAAAAAUUGAACCUGGAUCCUCUGGAAGUCCUCUUCACUGAUGAGCCAUGGCACUCUUCCCUUAGCCACAGCAUGUGCAUUCUUUUGUAUCCAGCUUCUUUCUGUAUAGUGCCAGGAACAUGUCAUGACUGAGGAUCAGCAACUUCCUUUCUAACCCUGUGAUCUACAUCUCCUGUUUUGAUUCCUGCACAGAAUAGAAUCCCUCGAGUUCCUGGAUGAAAUGGAGCUUCUAGAGCAGCUCAUGCGGCAUUACUGCCUGUGCUGGGCCACCCGAGGGGGCCAGGAGCUGGGUUUGAAGGAGAUAACCUAUUGAUCUGCUGAAGGCUUGUGCUGAGGUGGAAGGUGAAGGCUCCAGUUAAGGGAGUGCCUGGGCCUCCUGAGGGAUGGGUAGCUUCAUCGCCAUUGCUGGUCCUGUCGCACAUCCGGAACCCUUGGUUACAAAGGUGGUCACACCAGAUCCUGUUCCUGUCAGUAUCAUUGUUUAAAUAAAUUUCACUUGCCAUUUGUGUC